UACGUAGGGCGCAAGCGUUGUCCGGAUUUAUUGGGCGUAAAGAGCUCGUAGGCGGUUUGUCGCGUCUGCUGUGAAAACUCGGGGCUUAACUCCGGGCCUGCAGUGGGUACGGGCAGACUAGAGUGCGGUAGGGGAGACUGGAAUUCCUGGUGUAGCGGUGAAAUGCGCAGAUAUCAGGAGGAACACCAAUGGCGAAGGCAGCUCGCUGGGACGUGACUGACGCUGAGACGCGAAAGCGUGGGGAGCAAACAGG
rnacentral:rRNA from 1 species